rnacentral:lncRNA from 1 species
ACGAAUCGGGGAGACAUGGGGCAGAUGCACGAAUCGGGGAGACAUGGGGCAGAUGCACGAAUCGGGGAGACAUGGGGCAGAUGCACGAAUCGGGGAGACAUGGGGCAGAUGCACGAAGUGUGAUGCAGGACAGGCUUGUGGUGCUUAGCUACAUAAGAUCAUUCUGUAUAAAAAAAGCUUCCCCAUUUAAGUGAACUGGCUUUAAGAGUACUUCAUUUUGCAGAGGCAGCUGUAACUGGCCUUGGCAUUGGAUCCAGGAUAUCCAUUUUGUAUCAAGUGCAAAUUUUGUUAUGUGAUCUACGAUGCCUGGAAAAGUUUGUAGCGAAGAUCACUACAUCUCACAAAAAGAUGGUGAGCUGCCAGAAAGGAUCAGCCCAGACUUAAUUGCAAGGCUGAUGAGAAAGGCAGGCAAGAUGGGAAGUGAAUAAAAAGAAGAGGAUUGGUAUUUCUGGAAAUGACUGUUCAUUGAAAAUUCAGCAACGUGGCCUUAUAAUCUUCAGAUAUGAAUUUUCUGUAAACGUGUUACUGAGUCCCUGUAGUAGAAGACUUGGAAGAAAUAAACAGAAAAGUAAUAGAAAUAUUGGAAUACA